rnacentral:lncRNA from 1 species
UGCUCCCCGUGUGCCAGAGUGACACAGCUCUGAGACAGAUCUAGAAACUUUGCUGGGAGAUGAUGCAGGGCAGGAAAACCACACAAGCUGUAGCUUCACCUCGGUGCAAAAUUCACACCUCUGCAACGUUCACUGUCACCUGCACAAAGAUGAGAAGGCUUCCAGUCACUGAUGGCUGAAGUGACAGUGUUUUAGCGUUUUUCUCAGUUCAUCUUCAAAUUCAGGAGCUGAAGCCGCCAGUUCUUGUGUGGUGAGACAUUGAAAAGCACAAGGAGGCCUCGUGGGGAGCAGGGUGG